rnacentral:rRNA from 1 species
AGGGGCAGGUAUUGCCUCAGUAGCGGCGAGUGAAGCGGCAAGAGCUCAGAUUUGAAAUCGUGCUUUGCGGCACGAGUUGUAGAUUGCAGGUUGGAGUCUGUGUGGAAGGCGGUGUCCAAGUCCCUUGGAACAGGGCGCCCAGGAGGGUGAGAGCCCCGUGGGAUGCCGGCGGAAGCAGUGAGGCCCUUCUGACGAGUCGAGUUGUUUGGGAAU